rnacentral:rRNA from 1 species
GUGAACGCUGGCGGUAGGCCUAACACAUGCAAGUCGAACGGCAGCACAGUAAGAGUUUGCUCUUACGGGUGGCGAGUGGCGGACGGGUGAGGAAUACAUCGGAAUCUACUUUUUCGUGGGGGAUAACGUAGGGAAACUUACGCUAAUACCGCAUACGACCUACGGGUGAAAGCAGGGGAUCUUCGGACCUUGCGCGAUUGAAUGAGCCGAUGUCGGAUUAGCUAGUUGGCGGGGUAAAGGCCCACCAAGGCGACGAUCCGUAGCUGGUCUGAGAGGAUGAUCAGCCACACUGGAACUGAGACACGGUCCAGACUCCUACGGGAGGCAGCAGUGGGGAAUAUUGGACAAUGGGCGCAAGCCUGAUCCAGCCAUACCGCGUGGGUGAAGAAGGCCUUCGGGUUGUAAAGCCCUUUUGUUGGGAAAGAAAAGCAGCAGGUUAAUACCCCGCUGUUCUGACGGUACCCAAAGAAUAAGCACCGGCUAACUUCGUG